rnacentral:rRNA from 1 species
UACGGAGGGGGCUAGCGUUGUUCGGAAUUACUGGGCGUAAAGCGCACGUAGGCGGCUUUGUAAGUUAGAGGUGAAAGCCCGGAGCUUAACUCCGGAACUGCCUUUAAGACUGCAUCGCUCGAAUCAUGGAGAGGUCAGUGGAAUUCCGAGUGUAGAGGUGAAAUUCGUAGAUAUUCGGAAGAACACCAGUGGCGAAGGCGACUGACUGGACAUGUAUUGACGCUGAGGCACGAAAGCGUGGGGAGCAAACAGG